CGGACGGGUGAGUAACGCGUGGAAAACCUGCCGUAUACUGGGGGAUAACACUUAGAAAUAGGUGCUAAUACCGCAUAAGCGCACAGCUUUGCAUGAAGCGGUGUGAAAAACUCUGGUGGUAUACGAUGGUUCCGCGUCUGAUUAGCUAGUUGGUGGGGGUAAUGGCCUACCAAGGCAACGAUCAGUAGCCGGCCUGAGAGGGUGAACGGCCACAUUGGGACUGAGACACGGCCCAAACUCCUACGGGAGGCAGCAG
rnacentral:rRNA from 1 species